rnacentral:misc_RNA from 1 species
UCCGAGUUGUCCCCGGCAUUACCCGCUGGCAACUAAGGGCAGGGGUUGCGCUCGUUGCGGCACUUAAGCCAACACCUCACGGCACGAGCUGACGACAGCCAUGCAGCACCUGUGCUAGCCCCUUACGGACACGGGCUUUCACCCGCUUUAACUAGCAUGUCAAACCCAGGUAAGGUUCUUCGCGUUGCAUCGAAUUAAUCCACAUGCUCCGCCGCUUGUGCGGGCCCCCGUCAAUUUCUUUGAGUUUUAGCCUUGCGGCCGUACUCCCCAGGCGGGGUACUUAAUGCGUUAGCUACGGCACGGAUCCCAAGGAAGGAAACCCACACCUAGUACCCACCGUUUACGGCGUGGACUAC